GGGGAAGUAGUUCAGUUGGUAAGAACCGUCAUUUGAUUGACAUUGGUCGCUGGUUCGAGUCCAGCCUUCUCCACAA
rnacentral:tRNA from 1 species